AGGAGGAACAGCCCCAGUGGGGGGGCAGCUCUGGAAACCUGGAUUCAGCUCCGGCAGGAACUCCGUCUGCAGGGCCUGGAGGCUCCGGGGCGGG
rfam:Canis lupus familiaris chromosome 4, whole genome shotgun sequence.